rnacentral:rRNA from 2 species
GAGUGGAGCUUGCUCCAUGAUUCAGCGGCGGACGGGUGAGUAAUGCCUAGGAAUCUGCCUGGUAGUGGGGGACAACGUUUCGAAAGGAACGCUAAUACCGCAUACGUCCUACGGGAGAAAGUGGGGGAUCUUCGGACCUCACGCUAUCAGAUGAGCCUAGGUCGGAUUAGCUAGUUGGUGAGGUAAAGGCUCACCAAGGCGACGAUCCGUAACUGGUCUGAGAGGAUGAUCAGUCACACUGGAACUGAGACACGGUCCAGACUCCUACGGGAGGCAGCAGUGGGGAAUAUUGGACAAUGGGCGAAAGCCUGAUCCAGCCAUGCCGCGUGUGUGAAGAAGGUCUUCGGAUUGUAAAGCACUUUAAGUUGGGAGGAAGGGCAGUAAGUUAAUACCUUGCUGUUUUGACGUUACCAACAGAAUAAGCACCGGCUAACUUCGUGCCAGCAGCCGCGGUAAUACGAAGGGUGCAAGCGUUAAUCGGAAUUACUGGGCGUAAAGCGCGCGUAGGUGGUUCGUUAAGUUGGAUGUGAAAGCCCCGGGCUCAACCUGGGAACUGCAUCCAAAACUGGCGAGCUAGAGUAUGGCAGAGGGUGGUGGAAUUUCCUGUGUAGCGGUGAAAUGCGUAGAUAUAGGAAGGAACACCAGUGGCGAAGGCGACCACCUGGGCUAAUACUGACACUGAGGUGCGAAAGCGUGGGGGAGCAAACAGGAUUAGAUACCCUGGUAGUCCACGCCGUAAAACGAUGUCGACUAGCCGUUGGGAUCCUUGAGAUCUUAGUGGCGCAGCUAACGCAUUAAGUCGACCGNCCUGGGGGAGUACGGGCCGCAAGGUUUAAAACUCAAAUGAAUUGACGGGGGGCCCGCACAAGCGGGUGGAGCAUGUGG